UUGAGAUAGGGCACAGAGACGAAUGCGAUGGCAAGCUUGAAUCAGAGAAAAACAAACGACAGUCAAGCCGCCAUGGUUUCUUGUUAGCAUGCUCUUUGUCUUGGAGAAACGGGUAAUUGUAUGAAAUUUUUCUCUCCCUCUUUUCAAGCUUCCACCCCCAAAUCCGCUAUAAAGAAUCGAUGUCUUGAAUUAAAUACUAGAGAUGAUGCUGUUGCCUUGUAUAAUCAAAUGGUUUAUAUUCAUCCCCGUCCUUCCAUAGUCGAGUUUAGUCAGCUAUUGAGUGCAAUUGUGAGAAUGGAAUACUGUAGUUUCUCUUUCCAAAGAUAUGGAGCUCCUGGGAUCUGACAUGAUGUUCAUAGUUUGAAUAUAUUGAUUAAUUGUUUCUGUCGCUUACAUGUGUGGAUUAUGGUUUCUCUGUUUUAGGUAAAAUCUUUGAACUCGGUCUAUCACCCAAUAUCAUAACCCUCAAUACCCUUGUAAACACAACCUUUUUACUCUUACAAUAUCCAACAAUUGAUGUGUUUGCCUAUAACAUACUAAUUAUUAGAUAUUGUAAGAGUAAAAAGGUAAUGAGGGAUUCAAACUUUUUUGAUGAAAUGACUUAAGAGGAUUAUGUGCUUAUGUCAUUACAUACAAUAGAGAAUUGGGCGUGCCCAAGAUCUUUAUAAGGAGAUGUUUGCACUUGGCCAGUGUCCUGAUGUGGUUCCUUACUCAGCUUUGCUUGAUAGCUUGUUUAAAUGUGUGAAUGUGGCAACUGCACUAUUCAAGACAAUGCAAGAUAGUGGUAUAAAGAAGCAGAAUUAGGAAGCUUAAUGUUGCAAGGAAGGUAUUUUCUAACCUUUUAUCAAAGGUUUACGGCCUAAUUCAUGUGCAUACUCAGUGAUAAUUAUAGGACUUUGCAAGGAAGGGCUUUUCCGCGAACCAUAUGAGCUGUUCAGAAAAUCAAAGACGAUGGUUGCAUGCCAGAGAGUUGCUCUUAUAAUUUUCAUUUUCAAGUAAUUUCAUUUUCUGUUUUCAAGUAUUUUUUUUCCGUGUUUUCUUAAAUAGGCAACCAAACAUGUUUUUGGGACUGUUUUCUAUUUAAAUAGAAAAUGCAUGGAAAACGAGUACAUCAAACAUACCCUUAAUGUUUCAAGGAAGGUAUUUCUCUAGCCUUUCUAUCAAAGUUUUCCGCCUAAUGCUCAGGCAUGUGCAGUAAUGAUUAAGGGUCUUUGCAAGGAAGGGUUCUGCAGUGAAGCAUAUGAAUUUUUCAGACAAAUGGAGGACGAUGGUUGCAUGCCACUAUGCAGGUGCUCUUAUAAUACAAUAAUACAAUGUUAGCUUCAAAACAAUGGCAGAGCAACUUCUUUGGAAAAUGGUUGGUAAAUGAUUCUCAGCUAUACGUGCAGUAAGCCGUGUUAGUGGAUAUCCUAUCCUAUGAUAUAUUAAAUCAUUAAUCAUAGUCAUAAAAACUUUCUAAGUUGAUAUGCAAGUUUGUACAAUGUUGUUUGUAUACUUAAUGCUUAAUUUACUACUACAUUUUACUUCUUUUCCUAUGAAUUCACUUCCUAUUCUUUUCUUUUCUUUUUUGUUCUGGAAAUCAGAUGUAUCAUGCUAUUGUGGAUUACAUUUGAUCUACAUUAGUGAGGUUGAUGUAGAGAAUGCUUGAUGUAAUUUACGACCACAAUUUGCAGCCUGUCCAUCUAUGAACUUAGCUCUUUUUUUCACUUGAUUUGACAUAAUUCUCAGAGUAUUUAUCAUACUCUCCAUAUCCAUGCCCCAGGUUUAGUAAUUGUAUUAGUGACUUGCCUUGCACAGUUGCACUGGACUUGCCAUGUUAUUGAAACUUUUUCGUUCUAGGGACGAAAUAACUUUACUUAGUUUCAUUUUUAUACCUCAAUGUGUUAUCUAUUAAUCACAUUCUCUUUUUUUUUUUUUUUUUCUUUUUGCUAGUAACUAUCCUUUCUACUAGACCUACAUCUUACAGUAACAUUGGGGAUGACCAUUAUGAUUCAUAGUUGUUUCGUUGAUGGCUACAUGAUAUGAUAACGUUUCGCCAGAGUAGCUAUAUCUCUAUCUUUCUAGUUUUACAUAUACUUUGCUUCCCUGGUAGUUGAAGAGCAAAAUAAUGGGCUCUUCGAAAGUUCUUGAUCCCAAAUCUUAAUUCUUAAGAGUUAGAGAAUUAGCAACUGCCUGGAAGCCUUAUGUGUGUAAUUUCUUUUAUUUCCUCUGUGCAAGGGUUGCACCCCCUUGGCGCGCCUUUCAUAAAUUGCCUCUUUCAAAUUCAAAAAAAGAUAGUGUAAAAGAGUAUGAAUAUUCUGGCAAUCAUGUUUCUUGAUUUAAUCAAACUUUGUUUCUAGAUUUUCCUGAAUCUAAAUUGAUCUAAUAUGUCGUGCUAUAUUAGCAGGGUGUUCUCAAUUAUAUUCUCGUAGCCUUGAAAAUAAUUGAGAUUUUGUUCUUCCAAAAAGUCGGCUAUAUUUUAGGGAGCUUGUUUGUGAACAGAAUGUAUUUUGGUUAUUAAAAUUAGUGAAUCUCCCCUCUUUUGUUUGAGUAUAAUUCUCUAAACCAGGUUAUUUUAAGAGAAACAUGAAUUUGCUUUACCUCCAAAUUAUCCACAAGAUGUGAAAGUGUUAAGAAUUACCUGCUGGAUCUUCUUCAACAAGCAUAUGUCUUUAUAUCUUGUGCUCUUUUAAUGAUGGACAAUGCUGCGGAAGAGGAGGAGUUUUAUUGUUUUUAAGUUAGGAUUUAAUUUUUAUAUUUUAAAUUGUAGUUUUACGAAGGAAGGUACUUAUGUUUCCUAUUUCAAUAAGAGAAUGAUUGAUAAUUAAUUUGAGUUGCAGAACUACUUCUAAGAGCACUCAGAAGAAAAGCAGCACGGCAGAACAAGCAUCUUUGAAACAGAAUGUGCAGCUCAGGCUCGUACCUUCCGAAUGCUCAUUAAAUAUAUUCUAGCCAUCUUGAGCACGUGGAGAAGUUCUUCUAGUUUCUGCCUACGUAUGUUUGGAGGUGUCCUCAUUUCAACAUCUGUGAAAGUGAAGGAUAACUGGAGUUAAAAUUAUCAAGAUGCAGGUUUUGCUCAUGAUUCGUGGGUAUUUCAUGAGGUUCUUGGAAAUGAGUAUAGUAAUUUUCGUCACCCACCAUCAGCUAUCGAAAUCAAUGGGGAUAUCUUGAACCCUAUAAAGUGGAGAGAUAUCACCUUGAAGUAUUUUGUAAUGAUCUGGAAAUUUCCGGUACUCGGGAAGAAUUCAACGAUGCAUAUUCAUCUCCACAAAGUAUAUUUGUAUUGGAAAAAAAAUGGUUGAUUCUAUUGAUGAUGUACUCAUCUCCUAUUCCCAGUCAAGUGAAGACUGUAGUGGCGUGUACGGUUUAGCCCAAUUUUAUGUGAAUGUACGUAAGGGAGGAUGCAGAUUAAUUUGGGGCAUGCAUCACGAAUUGGUCAUCAUUGUAAAUAACAAAGGCAGUGCCAAUGAGAUUGAA